GAUGAACGCUGGCGGCGUGCCUAAUACAUGCAAGUCGAGCGAACAGAUAAGGAGCUUGCUCCUUUGACGUUAGCGGCGGACGGGUGAGUAACACGUGGGUAACCUACCUAUAAGACUGGGAUAACUUCGGGAAACCGGAGCUAAUACCGGAUAACAUUUGGAACCGCAUGGUUCUAAAGUGAAAGAUGGUUUGCUAUCACUUAUAGAUGGACCCGCGCCGCAUUAGCUAGUUGGUAAGGUAACGGCUUACCAAGGCGACGAUACGUAGCCGACCUGAGAGGGUGAUCGGCCACACUGGAACUGAGACACGGUCCAGACUCCUACGGGAGGCAGCAGUAGGGAAUCUUCCGCAAUAGGCGAAAGCCUGACGGAGCAACGCCGCGUGAGUGAUGAAGGGUUUCGGAUCGUAAAACUCUGUUAUUAGGGAAGAACAAAUGUGUAAGUAACUGUGCACGUCUUGACGGUACCUAAUCAGAAAGCCACGGCUAACUACGUG
rnacentral:rRNA from 1 species